rnacentral:rRNA from 1 species
AGAGUUUGAUUCUGGCUCAGGAUGAACGCUGGCGGCGUGCCUAAUACAUGCAAGUCGAACGCACAGCGAAAGGUGCUUGCACCUCUCAAGUGAGUGGCGAACGGGUGAGUAACACGUGGACAACCUGCCUCAAGGCUGGGGAUAACAUUUGGAAACAGAUGCUAAUACCGAAUAAAACUCAGUGUCGCAUGACACAAAGUUAAAAGGCGCUUUGGCGUCACCUAGAGAUGGAUCCGCGGUGCAUUAGUUAGUUGGUGGGGUAAAGGCCUACCAAGACAAUGAUGCAUAGCCGAGUUGAGAGACUGAUCGGCCACAUUGGGACUGAGACACGGCCCAAACUCCUACGGGAGGCUGCAGUAGGGAAUCUUCCACAAUGGGCGAAAGCCUGAUGGAGCAACGCCGCGUGUGUGAUGAAGGCUUUCGGGUCGUAAAGCACUGUUGUAUGGGAAGAACAGCUAGAAUAGGGAAUGAUUUUAGUUUGACGGUACCAUACCAGAAAGGGACGGCUAAAUACGUGCCAGCAGCCGCGGUAAUACGUAUGUCCCGAGCGUUAUCCGGAUUUAUUGGGCGUAAAGCGAGCGCAGACGGUUGAUUAAGUCUGAUGUGAAAGCCCGGAGCUCAACUCCGGAAUGGCAUUGGAAACUGGUUAACUUGAGUGCAGUAGAGGUAAGUGGAACUCCAUGUGUAGCGGUGGAAUGCGUAGAUAUAUGGAAGAACACCAGUGGCGAAGGCGGCUUACUGGACUGUAACUGACGUUGAGGCUCGAAAGUGUGGGUAGCAAACAGGAUUAGAUACCCUGGUAGUCCACACCGUAAACGAUGAACACUAGGUGUUAGGAGGUUUCCGCCUCUUAGUGCCGAAGCUAACGCAUUAA